rnacentral:lncRNA from 1 species
CAUUAAUGCGAUUCAGUCAUUAUUCAUUCAAUCAGAGACAAUAAAAUUGGAUAAAAUUUCAUAAUUUCUUGACUUCGCAUAAUCUCUCUUUGCUUCUCCAUGAUUUGAAAAGGUAUAUUUUCUAUUUUAUAACGUUGAUUUAUUUUAUCAUAAAAAUCUAUCCUUACAUAUGAUACUAAAGUAAUACGGUACUUUACCAUCUAUAGGGUG